GUGUGUGUUCCGAAGAAGAAGGGUGGUAUGGGGUUUAGGAACCUUCACAACUUUAAUCUGGCUAUGUUAGCAAAGUAGUGUUGGCGACUUCUCCAGAAUCCUGAAUCUUUAUGUGCGUGACUUUUGAGGGCUAAGGGGUGGUGA
rnacentral:rRNA from 1 species